AAAAUAGCUCCCUCCCCUCCCUGCACCUUCAUUUCCCAUGCUUCUAAUUUUCUCAAGCCCUAGUUGUUCCCUCCUUCCCUCCCUAUGCCUUCAUCUCUGCAUCUAAUGCGCCUUCAUCUCUGCAUUUAAUGUGAUUUUCCAGCAAGCCUUAGUUGUUCCCUCCCUUCCGCACCACAUUCUUCAAACCCUAGUUGUUCCCUCCCUUUCCCGCAAGUCCUAACUCUUAUUGUUCGUGGAGCUCUUCAGUUUGGGUUCGUCUUGGUCUUCCAUUGCUUAGGAACGAAAACCUGGUGCAUUUGUGGGCUGAACGAGGUCGAUCGUUAAGGAAUUUUUCCUCGAAUGUCCUAGUACCUCCAAUCGAGGGGCUAUGGUGUGUUCGCUCCCGCACCGACCACAUUUAAUUACCGUGUCCUCGAUCGUCAAGGAAUGACAUCUUCUUCAGGCAAAAGGAUUAAAACCCUUGGUUCCAAAGAAAAGGGAACAAAGAGGAAGGAGAAGGAGCAGUUUCACUCAGACUAGUUUAGAACCCCUGCU
rnacentral:sRNA from 1 species